rnacentral:rRNA from 1 species
GUAGUCAUAUGCUUGUCUCAAAGAUUAAGCCAUGCAUGUCUAAGUAUAAGCAAUUAUACCGUGAAACUGCGAAUGGCUCAUUAAAUCAGUUAUCGUUUAUUUGAUAGUACCUUACUACUUGGAUAACCGUGGUAAUUCUAGAGCUAAUACAUGCUGAAAACCCCAACUUCGGGAGGGGUGUAUUUAUUAGAUAAAAAACCAACGCCCUUCGGGGCUUCUUGGUGAUUCAUGAUAACUUUACGGAUCGCAUGGCCUUGCGCCGGCGACGGUUCACUCAAAUUUCUGCCCUAUCAACUUUCGAUGGUAAGGUAUUGGCUUACCAUGGUUUCAACGGGUAACGGGGAAU